GACAGCAGCCGCCACGGGAAUACAGAGGGUGCAAGCGUUAAUCGGAAUUACUGGGCGUAAAGCGUGCGCAGGCGGUUAUAUAAGACAGAUGUGAAAUCCCCGGGCUCAACCUGGGAACUGCAUUUGUGACUGUAUAGCUAGAGUACGGCAGAGGGGGAUGGAAUUCCGCGUGUAGCAGUGAAAUGCGUAGAUAUGCGGAGGAACACCGAUGGCGAAGGCAAUCCCCUGGGCCUGUACUGACGCUCAUGCACGAAAGCGUGGGGAGCAAACAGGAUUAGAUACCCCGGUAGUCCCUGUCUCUUAUAC
rnacentral:rRNA from 1 species